rnacentral:rRNA from 1 species
ACGCUCGACACCUACGAGGCAGCAGUAGGGAAUCUUCCACAAUGGACGCAAGUCUGAUGGAGCAACGCCGCGUGAGUGAAGAAGGUUUUCGGAUCGUAAAGCUCUGUUGUUGGUGAAGAAGGAUAGAGGUAGUAACUGGCCUUUAUUUGACGGUAAUCAACCAGAAAGUCACGGCUAACUACGUGCCAGCAGCCGCGGUAAUCUGAGCGGGCUGGCAAGGC